rnacentral:rRNA from 1 species
GAUGAACGCUGGCGGCGUGCCUAAUACAUGCAAGUCGAGCGAACAGACGAGGAGCUUGCUCCUCUGACGUUAGCGGCGGACGGGUGAGUAACACGUGGAUAACCUCCCUAUAAGACUGGGAUAACUUCGGGAAACCGGAGCUAAUACCGGAUAAUCUAUUGAACCGCAUGGUUCAAUAGUGAAAGACGGUUUUGCUGUCCCUUAUAGAUGGAUCCGCGCCGCAUUAGCUAGUUGGUAAGGUAGCGGCUUACCAAGGCAACGAUGCGUAGCCGACCUGAGAGGGGGAUAGGCCACAUGGGAACUGAGACACGGUCCAUACUCCUACGGGAGGCAGCAGUAGGGAAUGUGCCGCAAUGGGCGAAAGCCUGACGGAGCAGCGCCGCGUGAGUGAUGAAGGUCUUCGGAUCGUAAAACUCUGUUAUUAGGGAAGAACAAAUGUGUAAGUAACUAUGCACGUCUUGACGGUACCUAAUCAGAAAGCCACGGCUAACUACGUG